rfam:Triticum aestivum genome assembly, contig: Triticum_aestivum_CS42_TGACv1_scaffold_516178_6BS
AAUGUACUCCCUCCAUCCGAAAAUACUUGUCGGAGGAAUGGAUGUAUCUAGACACAAUUUAGUUGUAGAUACAUCUAUAUUCAUCCAUUUCUCCGACAAGUAUUUCCGGACGGAGGGAGUACAAA